rnacentral:rRNA from 1 species
UACGUAGGGGCCAAGCGUUGUCCGGAUUUAUUGGGCGUAAAGAGCUCGUAGGCGGUUGGGUAAGUCGGGUGUGAAAACUCCGGGCUCAACUCGGAGGCGCCACCCGAUACUGCUCUGACUUGAGUCCGGUAGGGGAGUGGGGAAUUCCUGGUGUAGCGGUGAAAUGCGCAGAUAUCAGGAGGAACACCGGUGGCGAAGGCGGCCACUGGUCGGCGAAACUGACGCUGAGGAGCGAAAGCGUGGGGAGCGAACAGG